GCCACGGUGGUCCAGCGGUUAGAACGCUGGCCUUGUAAUCCUGGGGUCUCGGGUUCGACUCCCGGCGGUGCCC
rfam:Zootermopsis nevadensis contig18076, whole genome shotgun sequence.